rnacentral:rRNA from 1 species
CCCUUAGAUGUUCUGGGCCGCACGCGCGCUACACUGACGAAUGCAACGAGCUUAUAACCUUGGCCGAAAGGUCUGGGUAAUCUCCAAAUUUCGUCGUGAUGGGGAUAGAUUAUUGCAAUUAUUAAUCUUCAACGAGGAAUUCCUAGUAAACGCAAGUCAUCAGCUUGCAUUGAUUACGUCCCUGCCCUUUGUACACACCGCCCGUCGCACCUACCGAUUGAAUGGUCCGGUGAAGCCUCCGGAUUGGCGCGCACCUCGGUGCCGCCGAGAAGUUGGCUAAACCUUACCAUUUAGAGGAAGGUGAAGUCGUAACA